CACAGAAGAAGAAAUAAAAGCAGACGAAGAAGAGGAACACAUCUAAACCUAAUGACGUUACGUUGUCAUUUUGUGUUGAACUGCUUAACGUUUGGAGGAAAGUAUCUUCUGCCUGAACCGGCAACUGGGAAUUGCGUGUUUGAAACUACCUUUUGUCUUUUUAACAUAUGGGACAACACGUACUACCUGCUACAUGAGCCGGCGCGAGAGUUUACGAACAUUUAAUAACAGCAAGAAGUCAUCCAGCAGCUAACAUAGCUCACAGGCUAAUCGGCUAGUUAGCAGCUUAGCUGGCUCCAACGGCUCAAAUUAGCAUGUCGUCUCUGUUCAGAAUCCCCAAGAAGACACAAGCGGCAGGUUCCGACUCCAACAGUCUACACAUGCAGUCUCCACUGUCUCGGCUGCAGGUGUCUGCCCCAGGACUUAAGAGUUACAGUGAUCAGUCGAGCACAGGUGGAGCAGACAGGAUGCAUGCUGGGAAUGCACUCGGUUCCACAACAAGCAGACAGAGUGUGCCAUGUAAGCCUCUGUUCAAAGACGUGGUGAAAACGCUGCUGGGACUCAACAGCCCAGGCAGAGGUAGAGCGUCGGCAGCCAAUCCCAGAUCA